GGUGACUUUGUGGUGGUGAUGGUGGCGGUGCUGACGUUGUGAUGGUGGUGGUAACCUAGCUUUGUGAUGGUGAUGACAUAGGGAUGAUGGUGAUUUCAUGGGGAUGAUGGUGGUGCCGUGGUGGUUGCGAUGGUGAUGGUGAGGGACUAAGGGCAUAAUGAUGGUGGUGCCGUGGUGUCGGUGAUAUCCGUGAUAAAUAGUAACGGUCUGGUGGUUUUAGUAGUGACGACGUGGUGAUUACGAUGGUGGUGAUGAUGAUGGCGGUGAUGGUGAUGGUGACUUUGUGGUGGUGACGACGUUGUAAUCGGUACCGGCGAGUUGAUUGGUUUUAUCUUAGGGUCAGUUAUGUCUAAAAUAUAGGAAAUACACACAAUAUCAUUGGACUAUUUUUUUUUGGUUAGUUAUCUAAUUAUAAUAUUUUUGUAUGUUAUAAAUGUAAAUUUCCCUAAAAU
rnacentral:sRNA from 1 species